GUAAUUGAGUAAGGCCCUCAGCAACUUAGCAAGAUGCUAUCUCUAAAUAAAAUACAAAAAGGGGCUGAGGCUGGGGCAGAGGCUGAGGCUCAGGGGCAGAGCAGGCCCCCACCUGGCCAGCUCCUGGAAGGCCUUGUGCGGUAUGGCGUUCCGCAGGUAGAGCCCCGGAUGCCGCAUGAGCAGCGACAGGGGCUUGAAGAGGUGCACGUGGUGCAGGACGGUCUCCAGGUCCGCGUAGAGGCGGUAGUGGAACAGCAGCUGCGAGUUGUAGAGCACUUUGUAUUUCCUGAGCUCCAACAUGGGGAUUCUGAAAGAGAGGGACACUGGCCAGGGGUCACUGGGCACACUGCAUGCUCAGGGUAGGGCCUCUAGUCCAACUCCCAGGACCAGAAAACCAAGCAAACAAAAAGAUUUUUCCAUCACUUUAGGUACAGGUGUCACCCAGUAAAGCAGUGUGGUUAUGGAAGAUGUCCCCACGGGCCACUGGGGAUGGGAUCUAGAAACUCUAUUAAUUGUUACAACUUGUGAGUCUGUAAUUACUUCACAGUUUACAGUUUAGAAGUGUGGACUUAGGUUACACCUGUCAUCCCAGUAGCUCCGGAGGCUGAGGCAGGAGGAUCGCAAGUGGGAGGCCAGCCUCAGCCACUUAGCGAGGUCCUGAGCAAUUCAGAUUAUUUAUUUAUGUUUUCAUUCAUUCACUCAUUCACUUUGCAAUUCUGAGGGUUGAACCUGGGCCUCCUGCAGGCUAGGCAGUGGCUUUCCCACUGACCUACGACCUCAGUCCUGUUUUAUUUUAUAUGACAUUUUAUUUUGUCUUUGCUUGUCGAAAACCCAUGACAGAAAGAACCCAGGGCCUCUUAACCCCU
rnacentral:lncRNA from 1 species